CUCUUCUCAUCAAACAGGAAGAGAAACUGAGAUUCAGGAGGUCAAAUCAGGUCAUGCAGCCAGCAGGAGAAAGAGGGGGGAUCUUAACUCAGCUACGCCUGUUCUAAAGAGCCCACUCUCCUCCCUCACAGAGAGAACAUUCCAGAAGAUAGAACAAAAAGAUGGGAAAAUACCAGAGAAAAGAUAAAGCAAGAAAAUAAGUCUAAAUGGUUGAAAACCAUCUGCUAGAAAAUACCAAGAAGAGAGCCAAGGGGAUAAAAUUAUCAAGGAAAUAAUACAAAGAGAUUUCUGAGAACUAAAGCAUAAGUUUCCAACUCAAAAGGGCUAGCACAAGGAUUGAAAAAGACUGGAGUCAAGUAACAUCAUUGUGAACUCUCGAAUAUCAGGGAUACAGAGAAGAUGCUAUAAACUUAAAGGGGGAAGAAGAAAAUCGGAACCUCUCCACAGCAUACUGAAUUCUAGUGGACAAGGGACUGACACCUUCGGUGUUCUAAUCUACACCCUGCACCUCUAUAUUCAGCCAAACUAUCCAUCAAAUGAAGUUUUGGGCUACUCCAAACAAGGCUGUUAUGAGUCUUCAUGUACAAAUCUUUGUGUGGACAUAUGUUUUCAUUUCAUUUGAAAAAUAUCCAAGAGUGGAAUUUCUGAGUCAUGUGGUAGAAGCAACCAUGGAAAUCACAAUGAUGAGAACCAAGCAAAGCAGACACACCACAGAAGGAAAACCUGCUAAACAGAGAUAAGAAGGCUCCAGUUUUGCCAGAGCUUCCAGAUUUCUUUGGAAAAACACAAAUCAGAAAUCCUCACUUUUAAAGAAGUCCCUGGAUUUUAAAAUGCUGGCUUAAGAUGUUUUAAGACAAUCUGAGGCCGAACAAAAGAAGUUUGCCCACAUGUGUCGCUACUUCCAUGAUGGAAAUUCGUCCUGCCAAUGGCCAAGGAGUCUUGGCUCCCAAGCCUCUGUGGUUGGAGGGAAGGAUCCUUGGGAGUCAAAUACUACUGGCAAGUGUCUAAUUCAUCUGUCUAAGCCUUCAGGUCCUGAUGAUAGAAAAACCAUGAAUACCUACCUUGUGGAGUUGUUGAGAGAAUUAAGUAAGAUCAUGCAGGAAAAAGUCCUUUGUAAACAAUAAAGCAACAUACCAAGAGUGAAUACAUGAAUAAUAGUAAUAUGUAAUAUAAUCUCCUUAAGCACAUAAUUGCAGUAAUUACCUCUUCGACCUGCAUUGAAGACCCUAACUGUGACUACUACCGAGAGGUAAGCAUAGGUGUGCUCAGGAUGAGUACAUCCAGAUCAUAAUCUGCACCUAUUAGUAUAUUCAUCCCAACGGCAAGGUGUGGGAGAUGUAGAAUUGCAAACCAGAAUUCCACCCCAGUGUUGCGACCAGAGCCAUGUGUCCCCUGGGUAAGUUCUUCCUUUACUCUGGGCCUCAGUUUCUUGAUCAACAAGGUGAACAUACUGGACCAGCCUCCUUCCAGCUCCAGAGCUCUUAGAUUUUAACAUUUACAUCAGUCGUUUUAAAAAGUAAACAGGACUAAUGAUAAAAACAUAAAAGUAAACAGGACUGAGCCAAUGAGCUCUUUUCAUGUGCCAUUCUGAUAUUUCUGAGAGGGAAGGGAAGAACCCUGACUCAUGCCAGCUCAACUUUCUGGUGCUCCAAUCUGUACCCUGCUGUGGGGGACCUGCCUCUGCUGACCUGCCUACAUGACCUGGUGCUGUCACCUCACAGCCAGAUGCCAAGCAAGCCCUUGAGACUCACAAGGACAAUAUUCUAGACACUUCUAAAAGUCUCUAAUUCACAAAUACAACUUCUACGAACAAUGAACGCCAAAAACACUAGAACUGAAAACGUUCACAGGACCCGUUGGCCCCUUGGUGAGGACAGCUUUGCUGCAGAAGCUGAGCAGUCCCACAGCCAUGCAGGGGUCAUGACUGGUUUGGGCACCUGUCCCCAGCUCUGUGCCUGGCCACUCCAUACUGUGUCAGGAACACAACACCUCACCAUGUGUGGCAGCUUCCAGGAGAGCUCAUGUGAAACAGAGACUCUGAAAGCAAGACACCUCCAGGGACACUUCGGGUCCUUAAGAGCUAACAUGCAUAUUCCCUGCAACCAGGAAGCCCUUUUCAAGAUUUCUCACAGUAUUUCUGUCAAUUUCCACAUCUUUGUGUGUGUUUUUUUUAAGAUUUUGUUUAUUUACUUGAGAGAGAGAGAGAGAUAAAGCAGGUGAGUGGGAGGGAGAGCAAGAGAGAAUCUGAAGCAGACUUCAUGCCGAGCGCAGAGCCUAACAUGGGGCUCCAUCUCAUUACCUUGAGAUCACGACCUGAGUGGAAACAAGAAUGGGGUGGGCGCUUAACCAACUGAGCCACCCAGGCAUCCCAUAUCAAUUUCCACAUCUUUGAACUCUUCCCUGGAAAAUGCUGCACGACAAAACAACAACAAAACCAAAAAAACACAAAACCAUUUUUGGGGUGUUUCACCACUGCCAUGAAAACUGGGGGACCCUAUAGUGAGUUCUUUUUCACCAUACUCAGAACUGGGAGAAUGGAAUAACAGGAAAAGAUGCAGUGUGCAUGACACCCUGUCUUUUUUUUGGGGGGGGGGGCGUGUCUCCAUCCUGGCAGAAGAGGGAGAUGCUAUGAGACAAAAAACCAAAUGUGAGGUCUGGCUCUGUCACUACUCAGUUCCUUUCAGUCUGACAAAUAUUUAUCAAUAGCUUCUGUCUGCAGGACUCUGUGCAAAGUACCUGGGGGAGCCACCCCAGCGAACCUCUAGGAGAAAAAGCAGCUGGAAUUACCGAGUACCUGCUGGGUUCCCAGUUAUGCCAGAAGAUUUUCACAGCGAUUGUUUUAGUUCAUCACCAUGCAACCUUAUGAAGCUGCUUACAAUCAUUUAUGCUUUUCAGAAUGAGAAAACUAACACUGGACAAGAGGAAGCAGCUUACCUCCAAAUAACACCUAUAAUAAAAUGGGGCUUUCUUCAGGUUUGAUGCUGUCCUUUAACGACUGAUCUCUUCAGUUGCUUCCUUCUGAAUCUGCUCUGACCUACCUCGACCUGGAAUCAAUCAUGACCUUCCCCAGGGAUGGGACCACAAUGAAGACCACAAAGAACAUCCUUGUCCUGUGGAGGCGUGGCAUCACAGGGUCCUCUACUGGAUUAACCUUAUUUAGAAUUAGGUUAAGGAAUUCGAUUACAAAUUUCCAGAUCACUCCAGAGGAUGGCUGCACAAAUUCACAAUCUCACCACCCAGCGAAUGCUACCUGACUGACAUCGUGUCCUUCUCCAUCCAUUACACCAGGAGGCAUGUGACGUCAGACUAUCCUGUUAUGUUCAUGUUUACUCUGAGUACUUGGCGAAGGUGGUAUCCUCCAGAUUUCUCCAUGGCAAAGAUACUGUUCUUUUCUCUUAUUUAUUUAUUUAGGAGAGAGCACAGGCAGUGGUGGGGGAGCAGAGAGAGAGGGAGAAACAGACUUCACACGGAGCAUGGAGCCUGAUGCGGGACUCGAUCCCAUGACCUUGAGUUCAUGACCUGAGUAGGAAUCAUGAGUCAGACACUUAACUGACCCACACAGGCGCCCCCUUUUCUCUUUAUAAUUACUAAGUGAUCUCCAGGGAGAUGAUUUGAGGCUAUAAAUAUCUAGUUACCCAACACACUCAAUGAUUUUAGAAUUCUCAUUUGAAGCAGGGAUUCAACAAUAGUUGUGAAAUGUUUUUCACGCUCUCAUUUUCUACAUUGGUUGUCUUUCUGCUAUAAAGAAAAGCUUUCCUGUCUCCCCCAAUUUACUUGUAUGUUUGUUUCAUUGUUUCAUUUGUAGAAUCAGCACAGACUCCUGCAUUCUUGUUGAUCCACGUAUUAGAGUCCAUUGCUAUUAUCAUCCUUCUAGAUGCUUCUAGUAUCAAUGUAUUUACCCAUUUUCUCAGUCUUACAAUACACAAAAAUUGUUUCAGAAUUGUUCUAU